AGGACUAACGCUGGCGGCGUGCCUAACACAUGCAAGUCGAACGAGAGUAGCAAUACUUUAGUGGCAGACGGGUGAGUAACACGUGGUCAACCUACCUUUUAGUGGGGGAUAACUAGCCGAAAGGUUAGCUAAUACCGCAUACGAUCUUCGGGUGGCAUCACCUGAAGAAGAAAAGAGCAAUCUGCUAAAAGACGGGACCGCGUCCCAUUAGCUAGUUGGUGAGGUAACGGCCCACCAAGGCGACGAUGGGUAGCUGGCUUGAGAGAGCGACCAGCCACACUGGGACUGAGACACGGCCCAGACUCCUACGGGAGGCAGCAGUGAGGAAUUUUCCGCAAUGGGCGAAAGCCUGACGGAGCGACGCCGCGUGUGGGAAGAAGGCCUUCGGGUCGUAAACCACUGUCGAGGGGAAGAUAUUGACGGUACCCUUGGAGGAAGCCCCGGCUAACUACGUGCCAGCAGCCGC
rnacentral:rRNA from 1 species